rnacentral:lncRNA from 1 species
UGAGAGAGUGGGAGAAGUUGAUUCUCCAAGGUGACUUCCAGCUUUAAAUAUUUCUGCAUACAGGUCCGUUUAUUAAAAUGGGCCAUUGUGAACACUCUCGUGAAAGAGAAUAGCCUGAUAUGAAUUAUAUAAAGAGAAAUGAGAAAAAUAGAAAAGAUGAAUAAAGGAUCAAUGCACUGAUUCAAAUAAUGAAAAGUAAGUACCACUGAAAGGGGCUUUAAUAUAAAGGAGAGAAUGCCAAAGGUAAUUUAUGGUUUUUGUAUGCAUGAACUGACAUUCACAUGUACUAUUGAUAUAGGUAUGCAGAUGUAGAAAUCUUUAUCUUUUCUUUUUAUUACAGUCAGAGUGACUCUACACACUUCCUGCUUCCACGUUUAGCAUCCCCAAGUGAAGAGAUAUGAAGAGUGUUCAAAAGAUGCUACAAAAUGUUUAGUUUUCAACUCUCCAGAGGAAGCUGACAUGGCAACACUCUGUUAUUUGAAGAUUUGAGUUUUCCUACUACAAGGAAGAAGUUGUAACUUCUGACUUAGUAUGAGGUUCAAGCCAGAUGGAUCAUGUGAUGCAGUCUUGUCAAUGAAAACAGGAAGACAUUUCUCAAGAUUAGAAUGGUCCUGGAACAAAAAAUUGCCUUACCAAGUAAUCAGUGCCUACUAUUGGAUGUA